rnacentral:rRNA from 1 species
UACGUAGGCAGCAAGCGUUGUUCGGAGUUACUGGGCGUAAAGGGUGCGUAGGCGGCUUUUUAAGUUUGGUGUGAAAUCUCCCGGCUCAACCGGGAGGGUGCGCCGAAUACUGAGAGGCUAGAGUGUGGGAGAGGAAAGUGGAAUUCCUGGUGUAGCGGUGAAAUGCGUAGAUAUCGGGAGGAACACCAGUGGCGAAGGCGAUCACCUGGGGAUGUUCCGACGCUGAGGAGCGAAAGCUAGGGGAGCAAACGGG